GCCUCAACUCCCAUUGACUUCAAUGUGAGUGGAGGGUGCUAAGCACAUCUUGAGAGGCACUCAGCACCUUGCUUGACUGGAUCCUUGUCGGUUACCAUACUUUACCUUUUUCUUAAGAAGGAGAGCUACUUUGAUGCUGCAGUUUACCUGCUUACAUGAGGCUUAUGGCAGUGAAGAUGAGAGCAUCUGCUACUGUUAGGAGUAUAACAUUUUAGUUAUCUACAUCAGGAUGCAUAACAGCUGUGAAGUCCAAAGGAUGAAAACUUUGAUUUUGAAGCAUGCACAACUUCGCCUAAUUGCCUCUAAUCCUCAUCAGGAAUAGUUAGCAUUGUAGAAAGAAGGAGAUCUUUCCAUCUCUUUGAGCUUCCAUCUGAGAUCUCCCCAAUCAUUUGAGCAGCCUGGCAGAGUCUUCUGCUAUUCACUGGUAACCCAAAUUCCUUCCCUUCACAAUUCAUAAACUAUAAUCUAAGGAACAUUUUGUAAUCUAGUGAUGUCACAUGAUCUCUAUUGCCACACUCCGUGCUAAAUACAUGUUCUAUGCUGGAUCCAUGCAGGAGCACUUUAUUUUAAAAGACAAUCCUUAGUUUCAGUUUCUCCAUUUUGGUUGCACCCACCAGCACAAACCAAUGCUAUGUGUUGUGGCAUGACACUGAUAUUCUCCACAGCGAUUCUUUUAUGCUUUUAUAGCAUGAGGAUAUCACAGUUCCUUCAUAUAUUUUGUUACUGUGGUAUAAUAUUAAAGCAGUCAUAUGGCCUUUCAAAUGCAACUUGCUUUUUUAACCUCCUGAGGAUUAAGCUGGCUGCGUUGUCUGUAGUGAGGUCUAGUGUUUAGAACAGGUGAUUCAGAGUUUGGAUACCUGGAUUCUGUUUUUUCCUCUUCCACAGACUUUCUAUGUGAACUUGAGCAAAACACUUAUCUUCUACAUCCCUCAGUUUAUCAAAAGGGUGAAGGGGAUUCAGCUGCACUUGCUUACCUCAUAGGGAUGUUAAGAGGCGUAAUUAAUUGUUUACAAAGCACAUUACACAGUGCUUCUAAACCAAAAAUCUCACAGCAAAGCAUCAGUCCUCCCGUGACACAAAUUACAGAGCAGCAGGGAGAUCUCCAAACUCCCUGCUAUAUACUAGAAAAAUAAAAUGCUGACCUGAAGGCACUUUUGAGGAAACAGGGAAAGUGAUUCAACUGUGGACAUUUAUGGUCUGAGCACCUGCAGCCCUCACUAAUUUCAGUGGGAGCAGUGAGGGGUAAGUGUCUCUGAAA